GACAGAGGUGCCGAGCGUUAGGCGGAAUCACUGGGCUUAAAGCGUGUGUAGGCGGACCUGUAAGUACCUUGUGAAAUCCCACGGCUCAACCGUGGAACUGCUGGGUAUACUGCGGGUCUUGAGCCACCUAGGGGCGAGCGGAACAAGUGGUGGAGCGGUGAAAUGCGUAGAUAUCACUUGGAACGCUAAUGGUGAAAACAGCUCGCUGGGGGUGUGCUGACGCUGAGACACGAAAGCCAGGGGAGCAAACGGG
rnacentral:rRNA from 1 species